rnacentral:rRNA from 1 species
UACGAAGGGUGCAAGCGUUAAUCGGAAUUACUGGGCGUAAAGCGCGCGUAGGUGGUUCGUUAAGUUAGGAGUGAAAGCCCCGGGCUCAACCUGGGAAUUGCUUCUAAAACUGGCGAGCUAGAGUAUGGUAGAGGGUGGUGGAAUUUCCUGUGUAGCGGUGAAAUGCGUAGAUAUAGGAAGGAACAUCAGUGGCGAAGGCGACCACCUGGACUGAUACUGACACUGAGGUGCGAAAAGCGUGGGGAGCAAACAGGAUUAGAUACCCGUGUAGUCCCUGA